rnacentral:lncRNA from 1 species
AUGAACAGUGCCGCCACAAGCCAGGGAGAAAGGACCAGGAGUAUAGAUGGGAAGCUCUGAAAUGGAACAAAGGUUGCACAGUCUGUGGAAGAGGAAAAUGCAGAAUAUGAGUUGAGAUUUGUGAAGAUAUAAUGGGCAGAGCUGACUCUUUCCUCUUCCCUAUUGCUGGCUGUAUCGAUGGACAGACGCCGGGGAGAUUAAAGUUUUCAUUUUUAUCACACUGUACUCAUUAAUCCUGGACCCAAUAAGAAAACCCUUUUAAAAUCUGAAAAGGUUUGAAAAUCUUUGGGAUAUGCUGAAGCCCUCUCUUCCUGGGGUAGAGAAGGAAGAUCUGACAGAAGAUACCCAAAGAUCAAAGUACGAGAGAAAGGAAGGCGCCUCCUGCCUGCAUCCCACUGAGCUGGCUCAUUCUAAAGGCUGUUAUCUCUCACAUCCCGCAGAGAAGCUGGAGGGAGAGGCAGCUCAUAC